CUAACCUGCAAGACAUAUAGCUAGCGAGCUGUAUGUCCUAGCUUGCGAUAUAUUACUAGCUGCCUACCAGCUGCAAAUGGCGCUCCGGUGGGUGGUCGGCCGCCGGCCGGCUCGCCGGCGGCGGCUUGGGGCGAUGAUGUGUGUCAUGCACAGGGGGCACGAGCUACGUACGCACGGUCAGCAGCAGCUAGCUAGCUAGAACAUGAAGAACAACUUAAUUAGGUAGUAAAGUAAGCUGGAGGUGCAGAUAAGCCGGCAUAUAUGCAUCAAGAACACCAGGCUGCCAUAGGAGUAUGUUUAUCUCAGUUGCUGUUUCAGGUAGUACCCCUGGCUUCUGUAGAUCUCGCUUCAGGCUCAGCAUCAUGGUUUAAUUGGUGAGGGGUUAAUUAGUUCUCAUAAGCGCUCCUCUCUCUCUCUCUCUCUUCGCUGCUUUUGUUUUUUUUUAAAAAAAAAUUCUGGGAUGGUUGAUUUGCUUGAUCUCCUUGGAGCUGAGAGUUGUGUGUUGGUGUUGUUUCUUUGAUUUUUUUCCAGUUCUAAUCUGGAGUAUGGUUUCAAAUUUCGGUUCCUCCGGGGGGCAUGAAAGAAUUUCAUCCGAAAAUUUCAAAAUGUUUGAAUUGUUUUCUAAAUAUCUGUGAAUUUAGCGGAAUUUAUUCAAAUUUGAUCCAAAACUUAUUAAGAACUCCAAAUCAUUUUGGACCAAACUAUUCUGAAAUUCCCAAAAAAAUCCCGAUAUUUUGGAUUCGUCGGCGCACACACUUUUUUUUUACAGCUUCUGAAACUGCUAACACUGAUCCAGACUCCAUUGCUGACUCCUCCCAUAAAGCCCAUUCUAUAGAGAGCUAGCCUGUUAUAAAAGAAAGCCCAUAUUUGAGCCCACGUAAAUAUGUUCACACAUGGGCUAUUAAUGGGCCGGAUGCUAGUAAACCCAAUGGAUCUAAAUGGGCCUGCAGUACCGUGCAAGAAACAGUACUUCCCCGUUCUAAAAUGGAUGCUAUUUGACCGAUUUUGGUUUUAGGGUUUAAUUUCGGAUAAAUUAAUAGUUACUAACUAAAGUCAUCUCUAUGACCUUCUUUAUUUAUUUAUUUAUCAAUUUUGUGAUGUGACGUGCAAUAAUUGUGCAUUCCUGUAAUUAGUCUAGUUUUUUUAUAUAUUUUUAAGUCCUACAAUAAUCACUUAAAAAGGUCAUUAAUAUUGGGACGGAGUGCAAUUUUACGACGACGACAGUAAAAAGCAAAUUACCGUUUUGAUGCGUAAAAAAACCCAUGAUUUGUCGGCGGUAAAUAAAUGUAAUUUCCAUGUGGUUUCGAUUUUCGAGCUUUCCCCUUCUCUAUUAAUGGACGCGAGGCGAGAGAGCAGCUGUCUGUGCACGAAACCCUAGCCCCCCAGAUCGACCAACCUGCAGCCGCCGGCCGCCGCCGCACCGAAGCAGAGCUAGCUGGUAGGCGCCAUGGAAGGAGGCGGCAACGGCGACCACGACGCGCGUCUGGCCGAGCUGCUGGAGCUCGGCGGCGGCGGCGGCGGCGCGAUCGCCUUCUUCGGCAGUCGCACCGUGCGCGGCGCCGCCUUCUUCAUCGUCCUCUGGGCGGCCUCCUGGAUUAUCCUCGGGGCGGCUCCGGACCCCUCCGUCGGUGUCGGCCUCCUGCUGCUCGGCUACAUAUAUGGUUUUUUUUUUUCCUGAAGGGGAUGAAAUUGGUGAUACAUUAGGUUGGUACGGGGUCAUCUAGCUAGCCCCUAUUCGACUGAGAUAGCAAAGUUGUCUGAAGUGCAUAUACACAUCCUAAUGUAUAUGCAUGCUCGGGUGUAUGUGCAUUCUAGGUAUAUGAACACGAUCCGAUGUAUACGCUUAUCCUAGUACAUACGUUUGUCCUAAUGUUCGCAUAUUGAAGUAGGUCGUGAUUGUUUUCGAACAGUUGUUGUUGCAUAUGCCUCAGAGGCAUGUUGGAACAAUAUGCCUCAGGAGCAUGUUGAGAUACGGAGACCAUGCAAGUGUCUUUAUACCAGAAGAACAAGACCAUUCGAGGUGGAAGUCAACUAAUUAAGGGCAAGAUGAAGCUUGUCGGCCAUGGUUUCUAAGAAUAUUCCUAUAAGAUGUAUGGGGAGCAGCACUCGAGUGUCGGUGACAACUCGAGGUGGUCCUAAGAGGCCAAGCACAUUAACCUAAUGUUCUCUAUUAGUAACCACUCUAGGGUACUCCGGUAAAUAUACAAGGGGACUCCGGGUCUAUAAAAGUAUAUACCCCUACUUUGUAAAACACAUGUAAAUAAGUGAAUAUACAGUAAGUUAUUUGAGCAUUUUCUACGUUUAAGUUCA